UUUAUGGAGAGUUUGAUCCUGGCUCAGAGUGAACGCUGGCGGCGUGCCUAAUACAUGCAAGUCGAACGAUGAAGCUUCUAGCUUGCUAGAAGUGGAUUAGUGGCGCACGGGUGAGUAAGGUAUAGUUAAUCUGCCCUACACAAGAGGACAACAGUUGGAAACGACUGCUAAUACUCUAUACUCCUGCUUAACACAAGUUGAGUAGGGAAAGUUUUUCGGUGUAGGAUGAGACUAUAUAGUAUCAGCUAGUUGGUAAGGUAAUGGCUUACCAAGGCUAUGACGCUUAACUGGUCUGAGAGGAUGAUCAGUCACACUGGAACUGAGACACGGUCCAGACUCCUACGGGAGGCAGCAGUAGGGAAUAUUGCGCAAUGGGGGAAACCCUGACGCAGCAACGCCGCGUGGAGGAUGACACUUUUCGGAGCGUAAACUCCUUUUCUUA
rnacentral:rRNA from 1 species